UUGUGAAGAACAUUUUUCUCAUUAUGUAUAUACUCUACUAUUAUUAUUAUGUUUUGAAUUUGUUUAACAGAUAAAAACAACGCAUUAAAACCUGACCCGAUUGUCCUCGCCCUGGGUAUAAGCAACGUUCUUCUUGUGGUUUUGCUUGUUUCAUGUGUGACAAAGAAGACCGCUCACUGCUGCCAACGUAAAAGGGAUGGUGAACAGAAAGUUGAUGAAACAUUUGAAAAUGACAAGCCAGAUGGUGCUCAGGAGCAUGGAGUAAAUUAUGCUGCCUUGGAUUUUGGGAAAAGAAAAAACAAAAACAGAGAAAUGAAGAGAGAUUUGGGAAUGGAAACGACUUAUUCAAGCGUUCGAUUACAAUAGUCACAGAGUCAUCACAAUGAAAAGAGAGGAAGGUGCAGAGACCACAUAAUCAACGGUCUUCAUGUACAUAAUAAAGGAAGAUUGUACU